GGGGGAAACCCUGACGCAGCAACGCCGCGUGGGCGACGAAGGUCUUCGGAUUGUAAAGCCCUGUCUUCUGGGACGAUAAUGACGGUACCAGAGGAGGAAGCCACGGCUAACUACGUGCCAGCAGCCGCGGUAAUACGUAGGUGGCAAGCGUUGUCCGGAAUUACUGGGCGUAAAGGGUGCGUAGGCGGAUAUUUAAGUGGGAUGUGAAAUACCUGAGCUCAACUCGGGUGCUGCAUUCCAAACUGGAUAUCUAGAGUGCAGGAGAGGAGAAUGGAAUUCCUAGUGUAGCGGUGAAAUGCGUAGAGAUUAGGAAGAACACCAGUGGCGAAGGCGAUUCUCUGGACUGUAACUGACGCUGAGGCACGAAAGCGUGGGUAGCAAACAGGAUUAGAUACCCUGGUAGUCCACGCCGUAAACUAUGAAUACUAGGUGUAGGGGGGAACCUCCCUCUGUGCCGCAGUUAACACAAUAAGUAUUCCGCCUGGGGAGU
rnacentral:rRNA from 1 species